CCCCCUAGGGGGCGAUAUCUCGGGAACUGAGAAUAAUGCCCGAUAGAACAUUAUGCCUGGAAUGGUUUAUGUUUCAAAUGAUUUAUCGCCAUAGGAUGGGACUGCGGCCUAUCAGUUUGUUGGUGAGGUAAUGGCCCACCAAGACUAUUACAGGUACGGGCUCUGAGAGGAGUGGCCCGGAGAUGGGUACUGAGACACGGACCCAGGCCCUAUGGGGCGCAGCAGGCGAGAAAACUUUGCAAUGUGCGAAAGCACGACAAGGUUAAUCCGAGUGGUUUCUGCUAAAGAAACCUUUUGCCAGUCCUAGAAACACUGGUGAAUAAGGGGUGGGCAAGUUCUGGUGUCAGCCGCCGCGGUAAAACCAGCACCUCAAGUGGUCAGGAUGAUUAUUGGGCCUAAAGCAUCCGUAGCUCGUUUUGUAAGUUUUCGGUUAAAUCCAUGCGCUUAACGUAUGGGCUGCCGGGAAUACUGCAUAACUAGGAAGUGGGAGAGGUAGACGGUACUCGGUAGGAAGGGGUAAAAUCCUUUGAUCUAUUGAUGACCACCUGUGGCGAAGGCGGUCUACCAGAACACGUUCGACGGUGAGGGAUGAAAGCUGGGGGAGCAAACCGGAUUAGAUACCCGGGUAGUCCCAGCUGUAAACUAUGCAAACUCAGUGAUGCAUUGGCUUGUGGCCAAUGCAGUGCUGCAGGGAAGCCGUUAAGUUUGCCGCCUGGGAAGUACGUACGCAAGUAUGAAACUUAAAGGAAUUGGCGGGGGAGCAC
rnacentral:rRNA from 1 species